rnacentral:rRNA from 1 species
GACGAACGCUGGCGGCGUGCUUAACAAAUGCAAGUCGAACGCUGAAGCUCAGCUUUUGUUGGGUGGAUGAGUGGCGAACGGGUGAGUAACACGUGAGUAACCUGCCUCCUUCUUUGGGAUAACGCCCGGAAACGGGUGCUAAUACUGGAUAUUCACUGGUCUUCGCAUGGGGGUUGGUGGAAAGGGUUUUUCUGGUGGGGGAUGGGCUCGCGGCCUAUCAGCUUGUUGGUGGGGUGAUGGCCUACCAAGGCUUUGACGGGUAGCCGGCCUGAGAGGGUGACCGGCCACAUUGGGACUGAGGUCCGGCCCAGACGCCUACGGGAGGCAGCAGUGGGGAAUAUUGCACAAUGGGCGCAAGCCUGAUGCAGCGACGCCGCGUGAGGGAUGGAGGCCUUCGGGUUGUGAACCUCUUUCGCUCAUGGUCAAGCCGCAACAAUGGUUGUGGUGAGGGUAGUGGGUAAAGAAGCGCCGGCUAACUACGUG